rnacentral:rRNA from 1 species
AUCAAAUCGUACCCCAAACCGACACAGGUGGUCAGGUAGAGAAUACCAAGGCGCUUGAGAGAACUCGGGUGAAGGAACUAGGCAAAAUGGUGCCGUAACUUCGGGAGAAGGCACGCUGACAUGUAGGUGAAGUGAUUUACUCAUGGAGCUGAAGUCAGUCGAAGAUACCAGCUGGCUGCAACUGUUUAUUAAAAACACAGCACUGUGCAAACACGAAAGUGGACGUAUACGGUGUGACGCCUGCCCGGUGCCGGAAGGUUAAUUGAUGGGGUCAGCGCAAGCGAAGCUCCUGAUCGAAGCCCCGGUAAACGGCGGCCGU